rnacentral:rRNA from 1 species
UACGGGGGGAGCAAGCGUUGUUCGGAUUUACUGGGCGUAAAGGGCGCGUAGGCGGUCAGCACAAGUCAGUUGUGAAAUCUCCGGGCUUAACUCGGAAAGGUCAACUGAUACUGUGCGACUAGAGUGCAGAAGGGGCAACUGGAAUUCUCGGUGUAGCGGUGAAAUGCGUAGAUAUCGAGAGGAACACCUGCGGCGAAGGCGGGUUGCUGGGCUGAUACUGACGCUGAGGCGCGACAGCGUGGGGAGCAAACAGG